rnacentral:rRNA from 1 species
UACAGGGGGUGCAAACGUUGCUCGGAAUUAUUGGGCGUGAAGCGCGCGUAGGCGGCUACUUAAGUCGGAUGUGAAAGCCCCUGGCUUAACUGGGGAAGUGCACCCGAAACUGAGUAGCUAGAGUGCGAAAGAGGGUCGCGGAAUUCCCGGUGUAGAGGUGAAAUUCGUAGAUAUCGGGAGGAACACCGGUGGCGAAGGCGGCGACCUGGGUCGACACUGACGCUGAGGCGCGAAAGCGUGGGGAGCAAACAGG